AACGAACGCUGGCGGCAGGCUUAACACAUGCAAGUCGAGCGCCCCGCAAGGGGAGCGGCAGACGGGUGAGUAACGCGUGGGAAUCUACCGAGCCCUAAGGAAUAGCUCCGGGAAACUGGAAUUAAUACCUUAUACGCCCUUCGGGGGAAAGAUUUAUCGGGGUUUGAUGAGCCCGCGUUGGAUUAGCUAGUUGGUGGGGUAAAGGCCUACCAAGGCGACGAUCCAUAGCUGGUCUGAGAGGAUGAUCAGCCAAAUUGGGACUGAGACACGGCCCAAACUCCUACGGGAGGCAGCAGUGGGGAAUAUUGGACAAUGGGCGCAAGCCUGAUCCAGCCAUGCCGCGUGAGUGAUGAAGGCCCUAGGGUUGUAAAGCUCUUUCACCGGUGAAGAUAAUGACGGUAACCGGAGAAGAAGCCCCGGCUAACUUCGUGCCAGCCGCCGCCGUAACAC
rnacentral:rRNA from 1 species